UCGUCGAGGAAAACGACAUCGUGCACGGGAAUAAUGCGGUGAUCGGUGACGUUGAAGUGCAGAUCGCGAAAGGGGCCGUUGAAGAGGCAGCGCAGCGGUGACGUCACCAGCACAGCAUCCUCCGGAGGUAACUGAGUAAAUUUAUGUGAGCGCACUUCAAAUAUUUGCCAAUUUAUGUUUGGCAAUAGCUGCAAUCAGAUACACCGCAACAAACAUCGCAUGCAAACAUCAGAUAAGAUUUUCAGAUUCAGUUUCAACUAAACUACGAAUAUUAUUGAUACCCCGUAGCUGAAAACUGCAGAAAAAUCGCGCCUUUUUUUACCUUGAUUUUGCCAUUGGUCGCCGAGAACAUUGAGAUUUUGAGAUUUCACAGAUUGCAGAGAUUUCAAAGAUAACAGAUGAGCAACAAAUCAAAUAAAAUGCACAAGACACACAGAUACAACACACA